rnacentral:misc_RNA from 1 species
ACCUCUGUUGAUUGAAAGCUAAGUUUCUAUCUCUGAUACAAAGGCACAAACACAAAGUGCGCAUAAGAAGAAAAUGAUAAUACCCACACAAUGGGUAUCUUCAAGACCCAGCAAAUCCAUGCUCACUCUAUCUCUUCUUUUAUCAUUUCGGCUUCUUCUGUGAUCUCUGCAUAUGAGCUGAUUUUGGGGAGCUGCGUUUUUGGUGUAAUGUGGCUUCAAUUGGUGCAUUUCUAGAUCGUCUUCUGGUUUUUUCUUUUGGAUCUCCUAGAAAUGGCUCUG